CCUACGGGAGGCAGCAGUGAGGAAUAUUGGUCAAUGGGCGCGAGCCUGAACCAGCCAAGUCGCGUGAGGGAUGACGGUCCUAUGGGUUGUAAACUUCUUUUGUCGGGGAGUAAAAGUCGCCACGCGUGGCGUUCCGUAUGUACCCGAAGAAAAAGCAUCGGCUAACUCCGUGCCAGCAGCCGCGGUAAUACGGAGGAUGCGAGCGUUAUCCGGAUUUAUUGGGUUUAAAGGGUGCGCAGGCGGAAGAUUAAGUCAGCGGUAAAAUUGAGGGGCUCAACCUCAUGGUGCCGUUGAUACUGGUUUUCUUGAGUGAGCGAGAGGUAUGCGGAAUGCGUGGUGUAGCGGUGAAAUGCAUAGAUAUCACGCAGAACUCCGAUUGCGAAGGCAGCAUACUGGCGCUCAACUGACGCUGAUGCACGAAAGUGUGGGUAUCGAACAGGAUUAGAUACCCCAGUAGUC
rnacentral:rRNA from 1 species